rnacentral:rRNA from 1 species
GAUGAACGCUAGCGGCAGGCCUAACACAUGCAAGUCGAGCGCACCUUCGGGUGAGCGGCGGACGGGUUAGUAACGCGUGGGAACGUGCCCUUCUCUACGGAAUAGCCUCUGGAAACGGAGAGUAAUACCGUAUACGCCCUUUGGGGGAAAGAUUUAUCGGAGAAGGAUCGGCCCGCGUUAGAUUAGGUAGUUGGUGGGGUAACGGCCUACCAAGCCUACGAUCUAUAGCUGGUUUUAGAGGAUGAUCAGCAACACUGGGACUGAGACACGGCCCAGACUCCUACGGGAGGCAGCAGUGGGGAAUCUUAGACAAUGGGGGCAACCCUGAUCUAGCCAUGCCGCGUGAGUGAUGAAGGCCUUAGGGUCGUAAAGCUCUUUCGCCUGUGAUGAUAAUGACAGUAGCAGGUAAAGAAACCCCGGCUAACUCCGUG